CCCUUAGAUGUCCUGGGCCGCACGCGCGUUACACUGAUGCAUUCAACGAGCUUAUAACCUUGGCCGAGAGGCCUGGGCAAUCUUGUUAACGUGCAUCGUGAUAGGGAUAGAUUAUUGAAAUUAUUAAUCUUGAACGAGGAAUUCCUAGUAAACGCCGAUCAUCAAUCUGCAUUGAUUACGUCCCUGCCCUUUGUACACACCGCCCGUCGCACCUACCGAUUGGAUGGUCCGGUGAAGCCUCGGGAUUGUGGUUCUUGCCGCUUUAUUGUGGCGUGACCGCGAGAACUUGUCUAAACCUUAUCAUCUAGAGGAAGGUGAAGUCGUAACA
rnacentral:rRNA from 1 species